UUCUUUCAGGUCUGUGGUUGCGGUUUUUCCAAGUCCAAGGCAGAUGCGGUCAAAAGGAUCCACGUAAGCUAUCGGUACAAAUUAAUUGUCUGAAGCGAUCAUGGCGCAUCCUAGGGGUAAGUCGCACCGCUUGCGGGAUAUGCAGCAUAGGGCUGCACAAGCGAGAGAACGAUGUCGUAUAUGGCUUAGUUCCAGUGCGCGAGUGUGGGGGCAAAGACCAGGUCAGCUGAAGGAA
rnacentral:ncRNA from 12 species